UGGGGAAUAUUGGACAAUGGGCGCAAGCCUGAUCCAGCCAUGCCGCGUGAGUGAUGAAGGCCCUAGGGUUGUAAAGCUCUUUCACCGGUGAAGAUAAUGACGGUAACCGGAGAAGAAGCCCCGGCUAACUUCGUGCCAGCAGCCGAGGUAAUACGAAGGGGGCUAGCGUUGUUCGGAUUUACUGGGCGUAAAGCGCACGUAGGCGGACUAUUAAGUCAGGGGUGAAAUCCCGGGGCUCAACCCCGGAACUGCCUUUGAUACUGGUAGUCUUGAGUGCGAGAGAGGUGAGUGGAAUUCCGAGUGUAGAGGUGAAAUUCGUAGAUAUUCGGAGGAACACCAGUGGCGAAGGCGGCUCACUGGCUCGAUACUGACGCUGAGGUGCGAAAGCGUGGGGAGCAAACAGG
rnacentral:rRNA from 1 species